AACGAACGCUGGCGGCAUGCUUAACACAUGCAAGUCGAGCGAGAACCAGAAAGCUUGCUUUCUGGGGACAGCGGCGCACGGGUGAGUAACGCGUGGAUAACGUGCCCAUGGGUUGGGGAUAACCCGCCGAAAGGCGGACUAAUACCGAAUGUGUUCCUAAGAGGUUCGCCUCUAAGGAAAAAAGCGGGGCAACCCGCGCCCUAGGAUCGGUCCGCGUUCCAUCAGCUUGUUGGUGGGGUAAUGGCCUACCAAGGCUACGACGGAUAGCUGGUCUGAGAGGAUGAUCAGCCACACUGGGACUGAGACACGGCCCAG
rnacentral:rRNA from 1 species